ACCACAGACGCCGGGACCGGGACCGCCGCCGACGCCGCCACCAUGAGUGAUCAGCAGCUGGACUGUGCCUUGGACUUAAUGAGGCGCCUGCCUCCACAGCAGAUCGAGAAGAACCUCAGCGACCUGAUUGACCUGGUCCCCAGUCUAUGUGAAGAUCUCCUGUCUUCUGUUGACCAGCCCCUGAAAAUCGCCAGAGACAAGGUGGUGGGAAAGGACUACCUUUUGUGUGACUACAACAGAGAUGGGGACUCGUAUAGGUCACCAUGGAGUAACAAGUAUGAUCCUCCUUUGGAAGAUGGGGCCAUGCCUUCUGCUCGACUGAGAAAGCUGGAGGUGGAGGCCAACAAUGCCUUUGACCAGUACCGAGACCUGUAUUUUGAAGGCGGCGUGUCAUCUGUCUACCUCUGGGAUCUGGAUCAUGGCUUUGCUGGCGUGAUCCUCAUAAAGAAAGCUGGAGACGGAUCCAAGAAGAUCAAAGGCUGCUGGGAUUCCAUCCACGUGGUGGAAGUGUAA